rnacentral:rRNA from 1 species
GACGUAGGAGGCGAGCGUUGUCCGGAUUCAUUGGGCGUAAAGAGCACGCAGGCGGUUUGGCAAGUCGGAUGUGAAAACCCGGAGCUCAACUCCGGACCUGCAUCCGAAACUGCCCGACUAGAGGUAGGUAGGGGAGAUCGGAAUUCCUGGUGUAGCGGUGAAAUGCGCAGAUAUCAGGAGGAACACCGGUGGCGAAGGCGGAUCUCUGGGCCUUACCUGACGCUCAGGUGCGAAAGCUAGGGUAGCAAAUGGG